rnacentral:rRNA from 1 species
AUUGAACGCUGGCGGCAUGCCUUACACAUGCAAGUCGAACGGUAACGGGCCUUCGGGUGCCGACGAGUGGCGAACGGGUGAGUAAUACAUCGGAACGUGCCCGAUCGUGGGGGAUAACGAGGCGAAAGCUUUGCUAAUACCGCAUACGAUCUACGGAUGAACGCAGGGGACCGCAAGGCCUUGCGCGGACGGAGCGGCCGAUGGCAGAUUAGGUAGUUGGUGGGAUAAAAGCUUACCAAGCCGACGAUCUGUAGCUGGUCUGAGAGGAUGAUCAGCCACACGAGAGCUGGGACACGGCCCAUACUCCUACGGGAGGCAGCAGUGGGGAAUUUUGGACAAUGGGCGCAAGCCUGAUCCAGCCAUGCCGCGUGCAGGAUGAAGGCCUUCGGGUUGUAAACUGCUUUUGUACGGAACGAAAAGCCUUCUUUUAAUACAGGAGGGUCAUGACGGUACCGUAAGAAUAAGCACCGGCUAACUACGUG